rnacentral:rRNA from 1 species
UAAUACGGAGGGGGCCAGCGUUGUUCGGAAUCAUUGGGCGUAAAGAGCGCGCAGGCGGUUGGGUCAGUCAGACGUGGAAGCCCUGGGCUUAACCCAGGAAUUGCGUUUGAUACUGCCCGGCUCGAGUUCGGGAGAGGGUGGCGGAAUUCCCAGUGUAGAGGUGAAAUUCGUAGAUAUUGGGAGGAACACCUGUGGCGAAGGCGGCUACCUGGACCGAUACUGACGCUGAGGCGCGAAAGCCAGGGGAGCGAACGGGAUUAGAUACCCCGGUAGUCCUGUGCUGUAAACGAUGAUGACUAGGUGUAGGAGGUAUCGACCCCUCCUGUGCCGCAGCUAACGCAUUAAGUCAUCCGCCUGGGGAUUACGGCCGCAAGGCUAAAACUCAAAGGAAUUGACGG